GGGUUGUGAGGUUAAGCGACUAAGCGUACACGGUGGAUGCCCUGGCAGUCAGAGGCGAUGAAGGACGUGCUAAUCUGCGAUAAGCGUCGGUAAGGUGAUAUGAACCGUUAUAACCGGCGAUUUCCGAAUGGGGAAACCCAGUGUGAUUCGUCACACUAUCAUUAACUGAAUCCAUAGGUUAAUGAGGCGAACCGGGGGAACUGAAACAUCUAAGUACCCCGAGGAAAAGAAAUCAACCGAGAUUCCCCCAGUAGCGGCGAGCGAACGGGGAGCAGCCCAGAGCCUGAAUCAGUGUGUGUGUUAGUGGAAGCGUCUGGAAAGGCGCGCGAUACAGGGUGACAGCCCCGUACACAAAAAUGCACAUACUGUGAGCUCGAUGAGUAGGGCGGGACACGUGGUAUCCUGUCUGAAUAUGGGGGGACCAUCCUCCAAGGCUAAAUACUCCUGACUGACCGAUAGUGAACCAGUACCGUGAGGGAAAGGCGAAAAGAACCCCGGCGAGGGGAGUGAAAAAGAACCUGAAACCGUGUACGUACAAGCAGUGGGAGCACAGAGCAAUCUGUGUGACUGCGUACCUUUUGUAUAAUGGGUCAGCGACUUAUAUUCUGUAGCAAGGUUAACCGAAUAGGGGAGCCGAAGGGAAACCGAGUCUUAACUGGGCGUUAAGUUGCAGGGUAUAGACCCGAAACCCGGUGAUCUAGCCAUGGGCAGGUUGAAGGUUGGGUAACACUAACUGGAGGACCGAACCGACUAAUGUUGAAAAAUUAGCGGAUGACUUGUGGCUGGGGGUGAAAGGCCAAUCAAACCGGGAGAUAGCUGGUUCUCCCCGAAAGCUAUUUAGGUAGCGCCUCGUGAAUUCAUCUCCGGGGGUAGAGCACUGUUUCGGCAAGGGGGUCAUCCCGACUUACCAACCCGAUGCAAACUGCGAAUACCGGAGAAUGUUAUCACGGGAGACACACGGCGGGUGCUAACGUCCGUCGUGAAGAGGGAAACAACCCAGACCGCCAGCUAAGGUCCCAAAGUCAUGGUUAAGUGGGAAACGAUGUGGGAAGGCCCAGACAGCCAGGAUGUUGGCUUAGAAGCAGCCAUCAUUUAAAGAAAGCGUAAUAGCUCACUGGUCGAGUCGGCCUGCGCGGAAGAUGUAACGGGGCUAAACCAUGCACCGAAGCUGCGGCAGCGACGCUGAUGCGUUGUUGGGUAGGGGAGCGUUCUGUAAGCCUGUGAAGGUGUGCUGUGAGGCAUGCUGGAGGUAUCAGAAGUGCGAAUGCUGACAUAAGUAACGAUAAAGCGGGUGAAAAGCCCGCUCGCCGGAAGACCAAGGGUUCCUGUCCAACGUUAAUCGGGGCAGGGUGAGUCGACCCCUAAGGCGAGGCCGAAAGGCGUAGUCGAUGGGAAACAGGUUAAUAUUCCUGUACUUGGUGUUACUGCGAAGGGGGGACGGAGAAGGCUAUGUUGGCCGGGCGACGGUUGUCCCGGUUUAAGCGUGUAGGCUGGUUUUCCAGGCAAAUCCGGAAAAUCAAGGCUGAGGCGUGAUGACGAGGCACUACGGUGCUGAAGCAACAAAUGCCCUGCUUCCAGGAAAAGCCUCUAAGCAUCAGGUAACAUCAAAUCGUACCCCAAACCGACACAGGUGGUCAGGUAGAGAAUACCAAGGCGCUUGAGAGAACUCGGGUGAAGGAACUAGGCAAAAUGGUGCCGUAACUUCGGGAGAAGGCACGCUGAUAUGUAGGUGAAGCGACUCCCUCGUGGAGCUGAAAUCAGUCGAAGAUACCAGCUGGCUGCAACUGUUUAUUAAAAACACAGCACUGUGCAAACACGAAAGUGGACGUAUACGGUGUGACGCCUGCCCGGUGCCGGAAGGUUAAUUGAUGGGGUUAGCGCAAGCGAAGCUCUUGAUCGAAGCCCCGGUAAACGGCGGCCGUAACUAUAACGGUCCUAAGGUAGCGAAAUUCCUUGUCGGGUAAGUUCCGACCUGCACGAAUGGCGUAAUGAUGGCCAGGCUGUCUCCACCCGAGACUCAGUGAAAUUGAACUCGCUGUGAAGAUGCAGUGUACCCGCGGCAAGACGGAAAGACCCCGUGAACCUUUACUAUAGCUUGACACUGAACAUUGAGCCUUGAUGUGUAGGAUAGGUGGGAGGCUUUGAAGUGUGGACGCCAGUCUGCAUGGAGCCGACCUUGAAAUACCACCCUUUAAUGUUUGAUGUUCUAACGUUGACCCGUAAUCCGGGUUGCGGACAGUGUCUGGUGGGUAGUUUGACUGGGGCGGUCUCCUCCUAAAGAGUAACGGAGGAGCACGAAGGUUGGCUAAUCCUGGUCGGACAUCAGGAGGUUAGUGCAAUGGCAUAAGCCAGCUUGACUGCGAGCGUGACGGCGCGAGCAGGUGCGAAAGCAGGUCAUAGUGAUCCGGUGGUUCUGAAUGGAAGGGCCAUCGCUCAACGGAUAAAAGGUACUCCGGGGAUAACAGGCUGAUACCGCCCAAGAGUUCAUAUCGACGGCGGUGUUUGGCACCUCGAUGUCGGCUCAUCACAUCCUGGGGCUGAAGUAGGUCCCAAGGGUAUGGCUGUUCGCCAUUUAAAGUGGUACGCGAGCUGGGUUUAGAACGUCGUGAGACAGUUCGGUCCCUAUCUGCCGUGGGCGCUGGAGAACUGAGGGGGGCUGCUCCUAGUACGAGAGGACCGGAGUGGACGCAUCACUGGUGUUCGGGUUGUCAUGCCAAUGGCACUGCCCGGUAGCUAAAUGCGGAAGAGAUAAGUGCUGAAAGCAUCUAAGCACGAAACUUGCCCCGAGAUGAGUUCUCCCUGACUCCUUGAGAGUCCUGAAGGAACGUUGAAGACGACGACGUUGAUAGGCCGGGUGUGUAAGCGCAGCGAUGCGUUGAGCUAACCGGUACUAAUGAACCGUGAGGCUUAACCUUACAACGCCGAAGGUGUUU
rnacentral:rRNA from 1 species